CUGGUUAGAGCGCACGCCUGAUAAGCGUGAGGUCACAGGUUCGAGUCCUGUCAGGCCCA
rnacentral:tRNA from 1 species